rnacentral:rRNA from 1 species
GAUGAACGCUGGCGGCGUGCCUAAUACAUGCAAGUCGAGCGAACAGAUAAGGAGCUUGCUCCUUUGACGUUAGCGGCGGACGGGUGAGUAACACGUGGAUAACCUACCUAUAAGACUGGGAUAACUUCGGGAAACCGGAGCUAAUACCGGAUAACAUAUUGAACCGCAUGGUUCAAUAGUGAAAGGCGGCUUUGCUGUCACUUAUAGAUGGAUCCGCGCCGUAUUAGCUAGUUGGUAAGGUAACGGCUUACCAAGGCAACGAUACGUAGCCGACCCGAGAGGGUGAUCGGCCACACUGGAACUGAGACACGGUCCAGACUCCUACGGGAGGCAGCAGUAGGGAAUCUUCCGCAAUGGGCGAAAGCCUGACGGAGCAACGCCGCGUGAGUGAUGAAGGUCUUCGGAUCGUAAAACUCUGUUAUCAGGGAAGAACAAAUGUGUAAGUAACUGUGCACAUCUUGACGGUACCUGAUCAGAAAGCCACGGCUAACUACGUG